rnacentral:rRNA from 1 species
CGUGAGUGAUGAAGGCUUUCGGGUCGUAAAGCUCUGUCAAGUGGGAAGAACUCAUAUGAUGUUAAUAUCGUCAUAUGCUGACGGUACCACUGAAGGAAGCACCGGCUAACUCCGUGCCAGCAGCCGCGGUAAUACGGGGGGUGCGAGCGUUAUUCGGAAUUACUGGGCGUAAAGAGCGCGUAGGCGGUCUUUUAAGUCAGGUGUGAAAGCCCGGGGCUCAACCCCGGAAGUGCACUUGAAACUAAGAGACUUGAGUAUGGGAGAGGGAAGUGGAAUUCCUGGUGUAGCGGUGAAAUGCGUAGAUAUCAGGAGGAACAUCAGUGGCGAAGGCGACUUCCUGGACCAAUACUGACGCUGAGGCGCGAAGGCGUGGGGAGCAAACAGGAUUAGAUACCCUGGUAGUCCACGCAGUAAACGGUGAACACUAGGUGUAGCGGGUAUUGACCCCUGCUGUGCCGCAGCAAACGCAUUAA